rnacentral:rRNA from 1 species
AUACGGAGGGGGUUAGCGUUGUUCGGAAUUACUGGGCGUAAAGCGCACGUAGGCGGACUGGAAAGUUGGGGGGGAAAUCCCGGGGCUCAACCCCGGAACUGCCUCCAAAACUUCCAAUCUAGAGAUCGAGAGAGGUAAGUGGAAUUCCUAGUGUAGAGGUGAAAUUCGUAGAUAUUAGGAGGAACACCAGUGGCGAAGGCGGCUUACUGGCUCGAUACUGACGCUGAGGUGCGAAAGCGUGGGGAGCAAACAGGAUUAGAAACCCUUGUAGUCC